GUGCUUGCUUUGGCAGCACAUAUAUUGAAAUUGGAACAAGACAGAGAAUAUCAGAAUGAGCCCUAUCAAGGAUGACACACAAAUUUAUGAAGCAUCCCAUAUUUUU